UGGGGAAUCUUCCGCAAUGGGCGAAAGCCUGACGGAGCGACGCCGCGUGGGGGACGAAGGCCUUCGGGUCGUAAACCCCUGUCAGAGGGAAAGAAGGGUACCGGCGUGAACAGCGCCGGUAUUUGACGGUACCCUCAGAGGAAGCCACGGCCAACUCCGUGCCAGCAGCCGCGGUAAUACGGAGGUGGCAAGCGUUGCUCGGAAUCACUGGGCGUAAAGGGCGCGUAGGCGGGGAGGUAAGUCGGGUGUGAAAUCCCUCGGCCCAACCGAGGAACUGCGCCCGAGACUGCUUCUCUUGAGUCCCGGAGAGGAAGGUGGAAUUCCCGGUGUAGCGGUGAAAUGUGUAGAGAUCGGGAGGAACACCGGUGGCGAAGGCGGCCUUCUGGACGGUGACUGACGCUGAGGCGCGAAAGCGUGGGGAGCAAACGG
rnacentral:rRNA from 1 species